AUCCAAGCAAGCGACGACAACUCCUCAAACGAACAUUUAAUUGAAAAACUGUUUUUCUUUUUUUCGUCGUUUUGUUGCGCGUUUUGCAUAUAAAUCAGUGGGAAACGAAGUGGGGGCGGGCCACGCUGCCUGCCUGCAACCACAUUGAGGGUUGCGACUGCUCCUGCCCCAGCCUCAUCCAUGUGUCCAUCGUUAGGCGGGCCACCAUGUUCGCGUUUCUCCUUCCCUGCGUUUGGGAGCAAACAAAUGCGACGCGACUCGCACAGGUCAGUGGAUAUUCAGAGCAAACUCUUGCCGCACAUGCUACAUGUAUGUGCGGGGGCGUAUGCCACGCCUAGUUCAUGUAAGCUUCCCCAUAGAGCUCUUUCAAUUAGCAAUUUGUCAGCUGACAUUCAGCGAACGAGGGCAGUCGGCAGGCGGCAGGCGGCAUAUGGAAAUUAUUCUCUAAAAAUAUACCCACCAAAAAUUGGCAUAUAUGUACAUAUGUGCAGAUAUAUGUAUACAGUUCAUUCCCAUUUACAAAUCUGUUGUAAUUCAAUUAAAAAACUAGAAAUAAAAUAAAAAU
rnacentral:lncRNA from 1 species